CUCAUCCCCUCCAUCCUUAGCCGAGUCGACGGAGCUCAAUUGCCGCGGUAGCGGCCCCCGAGCGACCACGCCCGUCCGCCCGGGGCGCGGUUGCUGGGCAAGCGAUCACCCGGCGGUGGAGCCCGCGCUGCGAAGCGCCUUGGGCGCGCCCAGUCGGUGCAAGGUCUUCCGCUGGGGUGCGGGCGCGGGCGCAGGCUAGUGGGCAGGAGAGGUAGGUUGCCACCCGACAGAGGGGCUCGUGGGGGAAACUGAGCAGCGCCCAGAGGAUAUUCAUCUGCGGAAGGGGCAGGCGGAGCUCUUGAGAUGAGGAGGGAGGAUGACGCCAGUCACGAUGACGCACGGUACCCGCUGUGGCCGCGCUUGUACCCGGUGACCCGCCCGUAGAUGCCGCAGCCGCCGUUACCCCGGCGCCGCCGCCUCCCGUCGCACCACUGCCACAGCUCGGGCUGCAGGCCCCCGAGUCCGCCGCCCUCGGGGUACUCCAGCCGCGGGCCCCAGCUCCCCCCGGCGCAGCCGUUCGGCCGCGCCGCUUCCAGGGCGCGGAGCGCGGCCCGCGGGCAGUGCGACGAGUUGUGGCUGUGGUGGUUGAAAGCGCGGUACCACGUCGUCAAGUGGCCGUAGGGGAGGCCGGGGAUGCCGGGCCGGCCGCGCCCGCCGCCCGGGCACUAGUCGAAGCCGCGCCCGCCGCCGCUGAUGCCGGAGCCGCCGCCGUACGGCCACGCGGGCAGCGGCUGGAGCCGGCACUACAGCAAGCUGGUGGAGCCGGUGGUGGCGGGCAGGCGGCGGUGCAGCAGGGACGUCGUCGUCGUCGUCUCGGUCGAGAAGGCCGGCGUCGUCGUCGUCGUCAUGCCGCUGAUGCCGCCGUACGUGCGGCCCCCGCCGCCGCGCCUGUACAGCAAGGACGUGCCCAAGCUCAGCAGCCGCCUCCUGUCCGACGACGACGUCUCGUAUGUCCGCCGCGUCUACGACGGGGCCGGCCGGAGGUGAUUGUGGGGGUUACCGAUGUUGAAGCCUACUAGUGUAGUGGUGAGGUGGGGUAUGGGGCAACUAGUUAAUUCCAUGUGAAUUAGUCUCUCGAUCUCUCUUGUCGUUCGAAUCGAAAGAGGCGAGACCCUUCUGCUGCUAACGACAAAGCUUCCAAUUAAAAACGACCGGAACGACAUCUCUCCCUACCCUACUUCGUUUCCGAUCGACUAAUUCUGUCAUUAUUGAUCAACAUUAUCAUCGGUGGUGUGUGAAAUGUCCAAGUCGAUGUCAACUAAUCCACGUACACUUUGCCUUCCGUACAUUUAUCAAAAUCGAAAGCCACACAGCACAUCACGUCGCCGUUGUUGAACUAUCGCUCCUUAGAAGAGGAGGAAGAUCUAACCUGCGGAAUCGAACAGAGCCUUCGUUUCAACCCUUGACGUUGGUGGUGGUACGUACGUAGAUGACAUGAUAUCAUGGUGGUGACGACCAGUUCAGCGGCGAGGAUUAACUAGUGUACAACAAAAGAGUUUAUUUACACAGAGAAAGAAAUCGGCACGGACGGCGGACAUUGACAAGUAGAAAAUUUUCUAUUCUAUAGUCGAGGAAUUAAACAAGAGACUGAUUGUAUAAGCUCACGGGUACAUGGCACAAGGAAUGGCACUAAUUAAUUGACUACUGAUGUAAGACACUUUUUUUUUUGACUACUGACUGGACGCCCGAUAGCUAGAGUCGGCAACUCGGACAUGUCUUACAUCUAUACACCCCAGGUGACCCUCGAGCUAACUGUGUACACGGUACUGCUGGGCGACUGCCGUCCAGUUUCAGUGUUGGCAGCAGAUUUGGCUGUGACCCUUUUCAGGUUGGGUUGAGCUCAAUCGAAUCAAUUAGUCGAUUUUAUUUAAUUGGUACGAAUUACAAAACGGAGGAACGUGUGCGUUCAGAAAGUCACCCCAGUUCGAAAGUGCGCAUCUC
rnacentral:rRNA from 1 species